rnacentral:rRNA from 1 species
GCUCAGUAACACGUGGACAAUUUACCCUUGGGACCAGGAUAACCCCUGGGGAAACUGGGGCUAAUACUGGAUGGAGCAUCGGCUGCUGGAAUGCGCGAUGCUCGAAAGCUGAGGCGCCCAAGGAUAGGUCUGCGGCUGAUUAGGUUGUUGUUGAUGUAACGGAUCAACAAGCCCGCGAUCGGUACGGGUUGUGAGAGCAAUAGCCCGGAGAUGGGUUCUGAGAAAAGAACCCAGGUCCUACGGGACGCAUCAGGCGCGAAAACUUUACAAUGUGCGAAAGCGCGAUAAGGGAACUCUGAGUGCCUCCUAAGGAGGCUGUUCAGGUGUCUAAAAAGCAUCUGGAGUAAGGGCUGGGCAAGACCGGUGCCAGCCGCCGCGGUAACACCGGCAGCUCAAGUGGUAGCCAUGCUUAUUGGGUCUAAAGCGUCCGUAGCCGGCUGAGUAAGUUCCUUGGGAAAUUUGACCGCUUAACGGUUAAGCUAUCAGGGAAUACUGCU